rnacentral:rRNA from 1 species
AACGAACGCUGGCGGCGCGUCUUAACCAUGCAAGUCGAGCGGCAGGCAGCAAUGCCGAGAGCGGCGGACUGGUGAGUAACACGUGGAUAACGUACCCCGAUGCCCGGGACAGCCUGUAGAAAUAGAGGGUGAUACCGGAUAGAUCACUGUAUACGGAAGGUAGACAGCGGGAAAGGAGCUUGGCUCCGCGCCGGGAACGGUCUGCGGCCCAUCAGCUGGACGGCGGGGUAACGGCCCGCCGUGGCGAGGACGGGUAUCCGGCCUGAGAGGGCGGACGGACACAUUGGGACUGAGAUACGGCCCAGACUCCUACGGGAGGCAGCAGGUAAGAAUAUUCCGCAAUGGGGGGAACCCUGACGGAGCGACGCCGCGUGAACGAAGAAGGCCGGAAGGUUGUAAAGUUCUUUUCUGUCCGAGGAAUAAGUGUAGGAGGAAAUGCCUGCAUGGUGACGGUAGGGCAGGAAUAAGCACCGGCUAAUUACGUGCCAGCAGCCGCGGUAACACGUAAGGUGCGAGCGUUGUUCGGAAUUAUUGGGCGUAAAGGGCAUGCAGGCGGGUCGCCAAGCUUGGUAAGAAAUACCGGGGCUCAACUCCGGAGCUAUAUUGAGAACUGGCGAGCUAGAGUUGCCGAAGGGUAUCCGGAAUUCCGCGUGAAGGGGUGAAAUCUGUAGAUAUGCGGAAGAACACCGAUGGCGAAGGCAGGAUACCGGCGGACGACUGACGCUGAGGUGCGAAGGUGCGGGGAGCAAACAGGAUUAGAUACCCUGGUAGUCCGCACAGUCAACGAUGUACACUGGGCGUGUGCGCAAGAGCGUGCGUGCCGAAGCAAACGCGAUAAGUGUACCGCCUGGGGAGUAUGCCCGCAAGGGUGAAACUCAAAGGAAUUGACGGGGGCCCGCACAAGCGGUGGAGCAUGUGGUUUAAUUCGAUGGUACGCGAGGAACCUUACCUGGGUUUGACAUCAAGAGGGA